CAUUAAAAACCCUUAAACAGGAGCCUCCAUCUUGAGGCCAACUUGGAGACUGGGGGAGGAGGGUCAACUCGGAGAGUACGGGAGUCCUUCACACUUACCCCACACCUUGCCGUGCAUAUCGCUUCCAUUCGACCGUUCCUCUUUAUAACAAAGAUAAGGAGGUUCCUGAUAGUCAUGAGGUGCAGAUGUCACCAUGAAGGAUUUUGGUGCUUUUCAAGAUAUAAGGAGAAACAAGAAUUGGCUCAUAAAAUCAGCUCCAAAAAUGUCUAACUAUCUUAAGACCUGUUCUGGCAGUUUUUCCCAGAGCACUGAAAGCCUCCUUUCUGCUCUCCACCCUGAACUCCUUUCAGGAGGUGUUGAAAAUCAGCAGCAGCACAUGAUUUAAUCCUUGUAGAGGUAGAAGGCAAAUGCCAACUUGUAGUUGACAAGUGUUUCCCUGAUAGUAGGCAAUCAAUAAAUAUUUGAAUAUUUUUUAAAUAAACCAAACAUUUGGGUAAAGCUGUGAGCCAGUAGAACACACAAUUAAAUGAAUGAAAUUGCUUUGGUAAAAUAGGAGGCAGCCAUGAGUCAGUGAUGAGAUGUGCAUUAGCUCGUGGAGUGGUCCAGGCUGGAGAGCUCCCGCUUGCUGGAAUGCCCACUCUUCUGACUUAGAGCUGUCCAGUGACGAUUUGUUAUUUCAGUGCAUCAUGGCAGUUGGUUCAUCAUAUCCAAUGUGAAAUUACACAUCUAUCCAUCACGUUGGAACGGUUGCUGAAAGUUUUAUAUGGACUAACAGAAUUUUAAGGCCUGAAGAGUAUUUUGAAUCACUCCCAUGAUUAUGAUGGAUUACAAGUCAACAGGAAUUCUUCAGAUAUGACUAUGCCCCUAAUCAGUUGAUUAUGAAUUGACUAAGAGAUUUUGCUGAGUGGACCUGACCUAAUCAAGUAGCCCUUAAGAGAGAAAAGAUACAGCUCUUAUCUGGAAGUAUCUCUCCUGGUGGCUUGGAAGAAAGCAAACAGCUAUGCUGUGAACUGCCUAUGGUUGGGAGCUGGGUCUGGGGAUAUGUGGCUAGGACCUGAGAGUGUUCCCUAGGAGCUGUGAGUAAACCCUGUCUAGCAGCCAGCAAGAAAAGGGGGACUUCAGUCCUAUAGCCCAAAGGAUCUGAAUUUGUCAACAACCCUAAUAAACUUAGAAAAAACCCUCUGAGCUCUAGACGAGAAUAUGUUCCCACCACCACCUUGACCUCAGCCUUGUGAGAUCCUGAUCAGAGAAACCAGUUAGGCCAUGCCUAGACUUCUGCCCUACAAAAAAUGUGGGGCAAUAAAUGGGUGUUGUUUUUUUCU